AGAGUUUGAUCAUGGCUCAGAACGUACGCUGGCGGCACGCCUAACACAUGCAAGUCGAACGAAGUAGCAAUACUUAGUGGCAGACGGGUGAGUAACAUGUGGGUAUCUGCCCUUUGGCCUGGAAUAACACGAGGAAACUUGUGCUAAUACCGGAUAAGUCUUUACGGAGAAAGCUUUAUGCACCAUUGGAUGAGCCCGCACUUGAUUAGUUUGUUGGUGGGGUAAUGGCCUACCAAGACUUUGAUCAAUAGCUGAUUUGAGAGGAUGAUCAGCCACAUUGGGACUGAGACACGGCCCAAACUCCUACGGGAGGCAGCAGUGGGGAAUCUUGCACAAUGGAGGAAACCCUGAUGCGGCGAUGCCGCGUGAGUGAAGAAGGCCCUUGGGUUGUAAAGCUCUUUCGUCGGGGAAGAAAAUGACUGUACCCGAAUAAGAAGGUCCGGCUAACUUCGUGCCAGCAGCCGCGGUAAUACGAAGGGACCUAGCGUAGUUCGGAAUUACUGGGCUUAAAGAGUUCGUAGGUGGUUGAAAAAGUUGGUGGUGAAAUCCCAGAGCUUAACUCUGGAACUGCCAUCAAAACUUUUCAGCUAGAGUUUGAUAGAGGAAAGCAGAAUUUCUAGUGUAGAGGUGAAAUUCGUAGAUAUUAGAAAGAAUACCAAUUGCGAAGGCAGCUUUCUGGAUCAUUACUGACACUGAGGAACGAAAGCAUGGGUAGCGAAGAGGAUUAGAUACCCUCGUAGUCCAUGCUGUAAACGAUGUGUGUUAGACGUUGGAAAUUUAUUUUCAGUGUCGCAGCGAAAGCGAUAAACACACCGCCUGGGGAGUACGACCGCAAGGUUAAAACUCAAAUGAAUUGACGGGGACCCGCACAAGUAGUGGAGCAUGUGGUUUAAUUCGAAGAUACGCGCAGAACCUUACCAACACUUGACAUGUUCGUCGCGACUUUAAGAGAUUAAAGUUUUCGGUUCGGCCGGACGAAACACAGGUGCUGCAUGGCUGUCGUCAGCUCGUGUCGUGAGAUGUUGGGUUAAGUCCCGCAACGAGCGCAACCCUCACUUUUAGUUGCCAUCAUUAAGUUGGGCACUCUGAAAGAACUGCCAGUGAUAAGCUGGAGGAAGGUGGGGAUGACGUCAAGUCCUCAUGGCCCUUACGUGUUGGGCUACACACGUGCUACAAUGGUAUCUACAACAGGAAGCAAAACAGCGAUGUUAAGCAAAUCCUUAAAAGAUACCUCAGUUCGGAUUGCACUCUGCAACUCGAGUGCAUGAAGCUGGAAUUACUAGUAAUCGUGGAUCAGCGUGCCACGGUGAAUGCGUUCCCGGGUCUUGUAGA
rnacentral:rRNA from 1 species